rnacentral:rRNA from 1 species
UACGUAGGUGGCAAGCGUUGUCCGGAAUUAUUGGGCGUAAAGAGCUCGUAGGCGGCUUGUCGCGUCGUUCGUGAAGACCUGCAGCUCAACUGCAGGCUUGCGGUCGAUACGGGCAGGCUAGAGUUCGGUAGGGGAGACUGGAAUUCCUGGUGUAGCAGUGAAAUGCGUAGAUAUCAGGAGGAACACCGAUGGCGAAGGCAGGUCUCUGGGCUGACACUGACGCUCAUGCACGAAAGCGUGGGGAGCAAACAGG